rnacentral:rRNA from 1 species
CAGCCGCCGCGGUAAUACGAAGGGGGCUAGCGUUGCUCGGAAUCACUGGGCGUAAAGGGUGCGUAGGCGGGUCUUUAAGUCAGAGGUGAAAUCCUGGAGCUCAACUCCAGAACUGCCUUUGAUACUGAAAGUCUUGAGUAUGGGAGAGGUGAGUGGAACUGCGAGUGUAGAGGUGAAAUUCGUAGAUAUUCGCAAGAACACCAGUGGCGAAGGCGGCUCACUGGCCCAUAACUGACGCUGAGGCACGAAAGCGUGGGGAGCAAACAGGAUUAGAUACCCCGGUAGUCCCUGUCUCUUAUAC